AGGAUGUGUGUGAUGAAAGCAUAGUUCAGCAGAUAAUCUGUGAUGAUUGCAGAUGUCUUUCGCUCCUAUCUGAUGCAUCCG
ensembl:snoRNA small nucleolar RNA snR60/Z15/Z230/Z193/J17